rnacentral:lncRNA from 1 species
GCAGCAGCAGAUGCAGCAAAUACCUUUUAGGAAAGAUGCAGCAAAGCAAAAUAUGAUGAGUGCUGCCAGUCGUCAACCAAGCAUGAUAGCUAUGAUGAUGUCCAGGUAUAGCUUUGUGUAUGAUGCGUUUGUUCCUGGGUGUGCUGAACCACGUUUUCUCUUAAUAUCUUUAGCUUACAAAGCGUUUCCUCCUUUCCCUUCUGCCUGCCUGCCUGCUGGUGCGUCCUUCUAGUGGUCGCACCAAGGCCCGUCAAGAGACGAGUUUGAAUGCUUCAUGAUGCACAGAUAAGCUUUAGGUUGGUUUGGCGGGUCUCGGUGUUCGGGAUCGAGUUUGGUUUCGGUGGCGGGGGUACGUGUUGGGGGUCGAGGGGCUAAUGAUGCCGCACCACAGAAAUUCUGUAGCGCUCGCGUACCGCGAGUGGUCCUGUCUGUGGUGCUUUCCGUGCCAUGUCCCGUGCCUUUUUUCCGUGUGAUUGUCAUAGCUUGCAGUCAUGCUUAGCUGACGGUUGAAAACAGCAACAACAACAGCAACAGCAACAGCAACAGCAACAGCAACAUGCCGGUUCCCUUUUUCCCAUCCACUCGCUCUCGGUCAUGGCUCCACCAUGGCUGGGUGAGGCGUGUUUCCCUCAGGCCCCCGCGCGGAUCUUGAAGAAACAGUUAUCACUCGAGGAAGGAAGCCAAGUUCGCAGUGCCGUUCUUGUUCGUGGGCAGUGUGGGUUCAACACGUGAUGAUAUGACGGUGUGAAGGGCCCGGCAGCUCCCCGUGUCCAGGGAAUGAUACCUGAUGAAAGAGAGAUUAAAGAUUGGGGGAUAACAUGAAUGGGUCUACUCUGUCCGCCCUGGAGGGGCCCCGUUUUUGGGUUCAAGUCCCACGAAGGCAUUAAGGUGCGCGUGCGUGUAUGUGCGUUCGAAUGCUGAGCAGGGGACGGCGAGGGAUGUUGGGCCCGCACGCUUGGGGUGCUGGGGAAUGGUUUUAUGCGCCAUGCGUGGAAAAGCGGUUAUUGGCAGGGUUAGGGUUAGUGACACUUGGCACCAUUUUGUGCGUCAUAUUCACAAGUUGCGUAACAGGAGCAGAUCGCACUGGGCCACUAUGCAUGCCGGCCUUGGUUGUGUAGUGUUGUGUUGCAUCAGUCAGGUGGCCUCAAGCAAAACUGCAAAAAUGUUGUUUUGGGGUACAUAUCCUUUUGCUCAGCGACUGAACCCUAAACGACACACGCCUUUC